GUUCUCUUGCUAUCUGUCCACCCACCUCCCGACAAAUGCCUGUUUCACCUGUAUCUUAUGCACAGGGCUGACCUUCCUCCAUAUUUGCCCCAGGCCCCAGCUGGCCAUUGUUCUCAUCAAAGGGGUGGUGAGGGGCAUGCCCUCUUCUGGUUUCCCUGGUAACUGAUGAGCCCACCUGAGGUCAAUUGCCCUCUAACUGGCUCUAUCCCCUUCCCUUGGGGAAUGAAGACUGCCACGAUGCUGUCUGCUGCACACUCUGGGGUGUCCUCCAGGACCUUGCUUCAGCCAUUUCCAUGAAAAAUCGACCCGCCUAAUGUGACUAUGUGGGGAUUGCUGACAAUGGGGAAAAAAGACUCACCAUCUUCUGGUCUCAUAUGCCAGUACGUCAGAAGGACCCUCCCGAAGGCAAGUUGUUGAUGAAGAAGACGAGAAGAGUGCAUAGGACCAAGAAUUCUCAAGAGCCAGAAGGGGAUAAGUCUUCUUCUGAAACUAAAAGGAGACAUGAAUCAUGGAUACAAAUAGAAGAUGUCUUUGGAAAGAGAAAGAAGGCAGUUCACAGCAGACUUCUCUUAUUCAGUCUUGGUCAGAUGUCUCAGUCAUCUUGCUCCUCCCCUUUCAGCUUCUCUCUGUUGUUGCUGGUGCUCUCUAAAGCUUCUGUCUUAGGCCCUAUUCCUUCUGAGCUGCCAACUUCUCCUUCAUGUUUGUACCAUAUGAGAAGACUCAAAACCCGGAAAAUAUUCUAAAAUUAGUUAUGCAGGCACUCAAAAACAUAUUGAGAACACUUUCUUGCUAGUUGUUCACGGAUUCCAGAUCAUCUCAGUUUGAUUCCAUGAGCUAUGGAAAACCCCCCAAACUGAAGUUUGUAUGUACAUAAUUUCCUCUCCGUGAAUAAACUGAUCCUUGAGCCAAAGCAUCCUGGCAGACCCAUAUCAAUUUGACAUCCUGUAGACGGAUUUAGAUCUAACCACUUUUUCUCAGAACACUUCAAAGCUUCAUUUUUAAAAUAAUAG
ensembl:lncRNA